rnacentral:misc_RNA from 1 species
GUAAGAAAGAUCCUUGACAGACACAGACAGCUCACAACAGCUUUUCAUGAAUCCAAAAUAAAAUUUGACCGAAUAAAACCCAAGAACAGAGAGCAGAAACCAUAAGCAUCUACACAUUACAUCGAAAAGCAUAUCGUCCCGCCAUAGUAUCAUUUCAGAUGGAAGAAAAAAGAAACAUUGCCCCUUCGACAUGAUAUAAAAAUUCACAUAAAAUGGAUCGUCAAAUAGCUCUAUUUAGUUAUGAUUUGCAGGUUUCAUUUUCCACCAGCACCGCCAAACAGAUAAUCCAGAGAAGAUCCGCCACCCGGGGCGGCGUGGACCUUGGUUGAAGGCCGAUCCGUUAUGAAAUUGCCAGUGUUCUGACCGUCAGCCCUCAAAUAGUUGUUUGAGGAGCUACUAUGAAUACCAGCUGGAAUCUGCUUGGUAACAUCUGCAGGUGGUGAAGCAGUAGCAGCAGGUUUGGUCACUGCUGGUUUGGAUACAGUCUUCCCUUCAUUUGAAGGUGGCGGUGCUUGGCGGCCACCUUUAGGUGCACCUGUGUUCGGAGCUUCUCCAUCACCAAACAGGUACCCCAGUGAGCUCUGACCCCCACCACUGCUA